rnacentral:rRNA from 1 species
AAUUUUCCGCAAUGGGCGAAAGCCUGACGGAGCAACGCCGCGUGAAGGAUGAAGGCCUUCGGGUCGUAAACUUUUGUCUUUGGGGACGAUAAUGACGGUACCCAAGGAGGAAGCCCCGGCUAACUACGUGCCAGCAGCCGCGGUAAUACGUAGGGGGCGAGCGUUGUCCGGAAUUAUUGGGCGUAAAGGGUUCGCAGGCGGUCUUUUAAGUCAGAUGUUAAAUGCAUAGGCUCAACCUAUGAGUGCAUUUGAAACUGGAAGACUUGAGUUAAGGAGAGGAAAGUGGAAUUCCUAGUGUAGCGGUGAAAUGCGUAGAUAUUAGGAGGAAUACCAGUGGCGAAGGCGACUUUCUGGACUUAAACUGACGCUGAGGGACGAAAGCAUGGGGAGCAAAC